ensembl:lncRNA LINC02446 long intergenic non-protein coding RNA 2446
AGCCUCUUGAGCUGCUUGCUUGGCCCACUCUCACUCUGUGGAGUGUACAUUUGUUUCCAUAAAUCUGUGCUUUUUUUUUCAUUGUUUUGUUUGUGCAUUUCAUCCAAUUGUUUGUUCAAAAUGCCAAGAAUCUGGACACCCUCCACCAGUAACAGGCAUUGGGAAGGGGAAGGCAGAAAAGCGGAGUGCAAAAUGAAGUGGUAGUGGGUGCUAACUAACAAGAGAACCUUUGAACACGAUGGGACAGAAAUAAGGUCAUGCAUUUUCUACUAUCUGUCACCUGUGGACAACUUGCCACUUCAACAGUUCUGGACACUUUUAAGCUCCCCCGAGGAGAAGAUAGGAAACUUGGACACCCUGUGUGGGAUUGAGAAUCACAAAGGGGCAGUCUCGCACCUGGUCAAGAUAAAGCUGAACUGAACUCUUCAUUCACAAGUGGGAUUCUCGUAAGAGGCAGGAAAGCAGGGACCGUCUGUCACUACAGACAGCAAGAAGAGGCAAGAAGAGAAUAGAGGCAAAGCAAGCCACUCCAGAAGUCCUCUAGCCAGCUUUGUCUUUAGUUUGAUGGCCAGAGGUGGGCCAUAUGGACACUCUGUAGCUGCAAGGGUGCUGGGAAAGCGAGUAACUUCUGAGAAUGGCAGGAGAUUUGGAAUGAUUCAUGGAUUGGCCAACAGUCUCUGCUACUUGAGGCUAAUGGUUACACAAGAUUUAACCUUUAACCAGACAUCAACAAAUUUUUGAGGGCCUAUUAUUCAUACUCCAAAAUAAAUACGAAAGUCAGGGAUCCAAGAAGGCUCUUUCAAUUCCCAGAAAGGGGAUAAUAUAUAUGCUAUAUUCCAUAGUACAUAGUGGAUAAAGAAAAACAAUAUACUAUAUUUUUUGUGGUAUUUUGAUCCUCUGCUCGUUUACCUGCAGCAAUUAUCAGUAAAAAAAAAAUAAAAAUAAAAA